rnacentral:rRNA from 1 species
GAUGAACGCUGGCGGCGUGCCUAAUACAUGCAAGUCGAGCGAACGGACGAGACGCUUGCUUUUCUGAUGUUAGCGGCGGACGAGUGAGUAACACGCGGCUAACCUCCCUAUAAGACUGGGAUAACUUCUGGAAACCUGAGCUAAUACCGGAUAAUAUUUUGAACCGCAUUGUUCAAAAGUGAAAGACGGUCUUGCUGUCACUUAUAGAUGGAUCCGCGCUGCAUUAUCUAGGUGGUAAGGUAACGGCUUACCAAGGCAACGAUGCAUAGCCGACCUGAGAUGGGGGUCGGACACACCAGAACUGUGACGCGGUACAGACUACUAUGGGAGGCGGCAGAAGGGUAUCUUACGCAAUGGGCGGAAGCGUGGAGGAACCACGCCGCGUCGGUGACAGAGAUCUUCGCAUCGUAAAUCUCUGCUAUUAGGGAAGAAGAUAUGUGUAAGGAACUGUGCAGAUCUUGACGGUACCAAAUCAGUAAGCAACGGCUAACUCCGUG